rfam:Gorilla gorilla gorilla genomic chromosome, chr12, whole genome shotgun sequence
GGCUGGUCCAGUGGUAGCAGGUUAUCAGAACUUACCAACAUUAGUAUCAUUAAAGUUGGUAUACAACCCCCUUCACUGCUAAAUUUGACUGGCUUAA